rnacentral:rRNA from 1 species
CCCCUAGUAGGGCAUAGCCCGUAGAAAUGCGGAUUAAUACCCUAUGUUGUUCGAUGCGGACAUCUAAGUUGAACCAAAGGUUUACCGCUAAGGGAUGGGGGAUGCGUCUGAUUAGGCAGCAGGCGGGGUAACGGCCCACCUGGCCUACGAUCAGUAGGGGUUCUGAGAGGAAGGUCCCCCACAUUGGAACUGGGACACGGUCCAAACUCCUACGGGAGGCAGCAGUGAGGAAUAUUGGUCAAUGGGGCGGCGAGCCUGAACCAGCCAAGUAGCGUUGCAGGACGACGGCCCUAUGGGUUGUAAACUGCUUUUAUGCGGGGAUAAAGUGCGGCACGUGUGCCGUUUUUGUAGGUACCGCAUGAAUAAGGACCGGCUAAUUCCGUGCCAGCCGCCGC